UGAGGAAGCAGUUGUUGCCUCUGAUUUUUGUUUUCUUGCAGAAUUGUGGAAAUAGAAAUCGGGUCAGAGUGGGCAGGAAAGAAGAGAAGAUGAGGGAGUGGAGAUAGUGAUUCUAGGGUUGUAGACAUCUGAAUUAAGGAAGGUUCUAAGAAGACACAGGCCCUCCCACAGCCCCUCCCACAGCCUCUCCCACAGGUCCUCCCACAGCCCCUCCCACAGCCCCUCCCACAGCCUCUCCCACAGGUCCUCCCACAGCCCCUCCCACAGCCCCUCCCACAGCCUCUCCCACAGGUGCUCCCAUAGGUGCU
rnacentral:lncRNA from 1 species